AUUGAACGCUGGCGGCAUGCCUAACACAUGCAAGUCGAACGAGUGGCGGACGGGUGAGUAAUGUCUGGGAAACUGCCCGAUGGAGGGGGAUAACUACUGGAAACGGUAGCUAAUACCGCAUACCAUCGGAUGUGCCCAUAUGGGAUUAGCUAGUAGGUGGGGUAAAGGCUCACCUAGGCGACGAUCCCUAGCUGGUCUGAGAGGAUGACCAGCCACACUGGAACUGAGACACGGCCCAGACUCCUACGGGAGGCAGCAGUGGGGAAUAGUGCACAAUGGGCGAAAGCCUGAUGCAGCCAUGCCGCGUGUAUGAAGAAGGCCUUCGGGUUGUAAAGUACUUUCAGCGAGGAGGCGGUACUUGCAGAAGAAGCACCGGCUAACUCCGUGCCAGCAGCCGCGGUAAUUC
rnacentral:rRNA from 1 species